UACGAAGGGGCUAGCGUUGCUCGGAAUUACUGGGCGUAAAGCGCACGUAGGCGGCUCUUUAAGUCGGGGGUGAAAUCCUGGAGCUCAACUCCAGAACUGCCUUCGAUACUGUAGAGCUUGAGUUCGGGAGAGGUGAGUGGAACUGCGAGUGUAGAGGUGAAAUUCGUAGAUAUUCGCAAGAACACCAGUGGCGAAGGCGGCUCACUGGCCCGAUACUGACGCUGAGGUGCGAAAGCGUGGGGAGCAAACAGG
rnacentral:rRNA from 1 species